rnacentral:rRNA from 1 species
UACGUAGGUGGCAAGCGUUGUCCGGAUUUAUUGGGCGUAAAGCGAGCGCAGGCGGUUUCUUAAGUCUGAUGUGAAAGCCUUCGGCUCAACCGAAGAAGUGCAUCGGAAACUGGGAAACUUGAGUGCAGAAGAGGACAGUGGAACUCCAUGUGUAGCGGUGAAAUGCGUAGAUAUAUGAAGAACACCAGUGGCGAAGGCGGCUGUCUGGUCUGUAACUGACGCUGAGGCUCG